UUAAUUGAAGCCAAAAUUAGAGGCGUAUUACUGUUAAUAAUAUAAAUGAAAUAUAAUAUUCCAAUUAAG
rnacentral:tRNA from 1 species